AAGGGAAUGCUACUAAUUAGAUUUGGAUCAACAUGAAAUUCUAAAAUAAAUCUGUUUAAAUUAACAAUAUACUAACUAUCCAAAUAAAAAACAUUUCACAUGAAAAUCUUCUAGCUGGAAAUACAAAUAGAAAAUAUUUGCUUAGAUUUCGAUUGUUUUCAUAUAAAAUUGUAGCAUCAUUUAAAGCAUAAGAUUGUUUCUCUUUCAUGCUGAAAUUAAUAAGAAUUCGUUAAGAAUUUUGAUUGAUGGAAUAUUGAAAUUUAGUUUUCUAAAUUUCCGGCAAAAUAUGUAAAUCGUAAAAUCAAUUAACACACAAUUCCACAAACUCUAUCUGUGUGUGUGUGCGUGUGUGGAAAGCUUGCAUUUGAUUUAUGGCACUUCCAUGGAAAUUGUCGACAAUUUGUCUGGCCGCGCAGAAGAAACCGGGCAGCGGAGUUGGUAAGAAGUCGUUUCCGUGAUUUACGCGCAACAAAACUCAAAAAUAAACAAUGCGUUUACUGGAGCUCUGCUGCUGCUGUGUGUGAUUAUUUGACUUGGGCCUGACGGCGGCCUCGCACUUUGAUAGUGCUGAAUUUGCAGCUUCUAUUUCUGUCACCGAUUGCGGACUCCGACUCCGACGCCGACUCCGAUUCCGAUUCCAAUUCCUAAUCCAAAUCCAAUUUCAAAGCCGAAUUCAAAUUGAAAUGCGUUCUUAUUUAUUUGCUUAUGUCGCGCCCGACUGCUUGCCAACUGCGUCGACGUCGGCAGCAUCAAAUGGCCCAAAAUUCGUUGGCCGGCUGACGGGCGUAAACAUUGAGCCAGCGGCCCGGUGACGAGCCAAUCGCAAUGCCAACGUGAACCGUGCGUGACAUCAAAGCAGCCAAAGCUGAUAAGCAAAAUAAACUGCACAUCAGAUUGCAAUAAUCAAAUA